rnacentral:tRNA from 1 species
UCUGAAACAACGCUCUCAGCGGUAGAGUAGAUGACUGUUAAUCAUUUGGUCCCAGGUUCGAAUCCUGGUGCCGGAGCCA